rnacentral:rRNA from 1 species
AGAGUUUGAUCCUGGCUCAGGGUUAACGCUGGCGGUGCGCAUAACACAUGCAAGUCGAGCGAGGGCUUAUUUCCCGCAAGGGAGAUGAGUUCCUAGCGGCGAACGGGUGAGUAACACGUGGGCAACCUUUCCCAUCGCGGGGGAUAACAGCGGGAAACCGCUGCUAAUACCGCAUGUCGUCACCGGUCGCAUGGCCGGUGAAGAAAGCAGCAAUGCACGAUGGGAUGGGCCCGCGGCCUAUCAGCUAGUCGGUGGGGUAACGGCCUACCGAGGCGAUGACGGGUAGCUGGUCUGAGAGGACGACCAGCCACACGGGGACUGAGACACGGCCCCGACUCCUACGGGAGGCAGCAGUGAGGAAUCUUCCGCAAUGGGCGAAAGCCUGACGGAGCGACACCGCGUGUGGGAUGAAGUCUUUCGGGAUGUAAACCACUGUUGGAGGGGAAGACAUCGACGGUACCCUCCGAGAAAGCCCCGGCUAACUACGUGCCAGCAGCCGCGGUAAUAC